GUCACGUGACCUCCUCUUCCGGGACCCGCGAGGGCGACCUAAGGCCCAGUGGCCUCUCUCCGCGUGGUUCUCCGUUGCUCCUCGUCUCUCCCUCUUUCGUCGGCUCCGCGGCGGCGCGAUCCUGCGUCCCACCCAUUCCUCGGUCAUCCCGAUCACGCGACUGCGGCUCCCACGCCGUCCGCCCGGCCCGGGCGCGGCAGCCCCCGCGGCCGCGUGCACCGGGAGGCCCCGGCGACCCCGUCGGCGCGGGGGAGCCCCUGCCCUCAGCGCCGCAGCCUCCUGGCUCCAGCUAAGGCAGGCCUGCAGGGUGGUGGGCGGCCCGGUUCCCAGGUCACCUCCAGCCUACAGUGACACGGACUUUUCAGCGUGUCGCUUGGGCCGCUGCAAAGUAGAGGCGGGAAAGGGUUUUCGUGGGGGUGCACUCAGCAAGUUGUCGGCCUCUCCCCAACCCCAGGCCCAAGGUUGAGGCUCAACCCUAAUGUAUCUCAUUUCCAGUGUUAAUGAGAUUUUAUCCUAGGAUUAAGGAGGCUGCCCCGAAUCCACUUUCUCUGCCUUUAGCCAAGUUGGCAGAUGUUUAGUGAUUGGUCUCUGUGUGCCAGGCACCACACUAGGCGCUUUGGGAAACAAAAGAUAGGAAGGACGGGCGUUCCUGAGUUUGUAACUGCUUCACACCGGUGCUGAAAGUUGAGAACAGGCAACUAGGUCAGUGCGUGCGUUAGGGUUGGGCUUAGUUUUGCCAAGGGUGGAAGUAAUGAACUGGAUGAAUCAAUAGUAAAUGGCCUUUUGUCGUACUGGGCUGUGCAGUGUGCUUGGUACACAGAGAUGAAGCAGAAGAGGUCUUGUCCUUGUUCACAGUCUGGAAAUCCGGAAGGUGUGAUGGUAUAAGAAUUUGGAGGAGGGGCUAUUGGGAUGAGUAAUGAGGACAUGGAAGAGGUUAGAGAUUGGGGAACAAAGUAUGGGUUCUGAGGGCGGAGCUUUUGGAAUAGAGGCAGGCAAGUUUCUCUUCUAAGAAGUGAAAAGAAAAGAGGGUGAUCAAAAGAAAUUUGAGGUGGAGUAGAGGAUGGUCAGAUGUAGUUCUGAGGUCAGUGGAGGCAGAGAUUUUCAGACUAUGGGGUAGGGAUGGAUGAGAGCUUGGUUCUGAACUAACUCAGCAUCUCUCGUUUUUACAAUGUCACCUACUCCAGACCUCUUAAAUCAGAAUCUCUUGGAUAUGGGGAAUCUUGAUCACGUAUGUGUUAAAAGCCACCCAGGGGAUUCUAACAUGCAGCUGGGGUUGAGUAUCUGUACUAGAGGGUAGAAAAACAAAGAUUUAGGUAUUUGGAAAUUAGAUGAAGAAAAGAUUGACCAGAAUAACCUGUGUUUAUUUUGCAUCCAGUCAUUCAGUGGACUUUUUUUUUUUUACACUAGGAAGAAGACAAAUGAUUGACACAUUGGGUAUGUUGGAAGGUUCAAGGAAGCAAGAAAUAAAAUAAUGACUGUUGUUUUCUAGCAUUUCUUGACUGUUUACCACAUGCCAGGCACUGACAUUAAUCCUCACAGGAACCCAGCAAAACGAGUUGUACUACAUGAGUAAUGGUGAAGAGGUCUUGGUGGUUAGUAAGAGAGGUGAUUAGUAAGGUAGCUAAGUGCAAGUCACAGGCAGUUGGCAUACACUGCAACUUGAAGGAAGGUAGCACUACAAUGAUGGCAGGAAAGCAAGUUCCUAAGCCAUAUGCUGAAGUCUGAGGAAGGAAGAUCAGGUAUGGAAGAUCCCAGAGGCAGGACUCUUAAACUUCCCAGUUCCCCCCAUAAUAGUGAGUGAAACUCUAGGCCUGGAGGAGAUCUGGCAAGUAGGUACUUGGCGAGUUUCUUUAAAUAGGCAUAAUAGGGACACCUCAGUAGCUCAGUCGGUUGAGCAUCUGACUCUUGAUCUCAGCUCAGGUCUUGAUCUCAGGGUUGUGAGUUUAAGUGCAUUGUUGGGCUCUGUGCUGGGCAUAGUGCCCGCUUAAAAAUAAUAAUGAUGAUAGUAGUAAAAUAAAAUAGACCUGAUGAUUACCAACAAACAAAAAAACCCCAGGCCCUGGGCCCCACCCCCAUUAAUUCUACCUCACAAGGUUGCCGUUAAAAAAAAAAUUAGUAUUUGGGGACCUAAAAACUAGAAAAUGGCAGUUAUUAGUAAUGACUGGACUUAGGCUUUAAAAAGUCUCAUCUUAGGUGCCAAGUCCAUGUUCUGGAAUUUUCGACCUGUCUUUAGUGCUUCUCAAAGUAACUACCACCUUUCUUUUUCCCUCCGGUAGUAGCAUUGUAUUUUUCCCGUCUCUCUCAGUCAUGUAAUUGAUUAGUAAUUCUGUACAAUUUUUACUUCUUCUUAUGCACUAGAAGAAGCUAAGAUCUUUAUUUUCUUGCAUCCUGAUAGUUUGUUUAAAUUUCAGGAAUCUUUUUUUUCUUUGAUAUUUAUUAUUCAGCUAGAAUCAUUGCUAAUAGGAAAGUAGUUUGUAAAGUUACUGUAGUAAUUCUCACCAGAUCUUUUUUUUUUUUUUUAAUUUUUUUUUCAACGUUUUUUAUUUAUUUUUGGGACAGAGAGAGACAGAGCAUGAACGGGGGAGGGGCAGAGAGAGAGAGAGGGAGACACAGAAUCGGAAACAG